rnacentral:tRNA from 2 species
GCCGCUGUGGCCGAGUGGCUAGGCACCGGCCUGCAAAGCCGGUUAGUCCGGUUCGAUUCCGGAGGGCGGCU